rnacentral:rRNA from 1 species
UAGGGAAUCUUCGGCAAUGGGGGGAACCCUGACCGAGCAACGCCGCGUGAGUGAAGAAGGUUUUCGGAUCGUAAAGGUCUGUUGUUAAGGAAGAACGAGUGUGAGAAUGGAAAGUUCAUACUGUGACGGUACUUAACCAGAAAGGGACGGCUAACUACGUGCCAGCAGCCGCGGUAAUACGUAGGUCCCGAGCGUUGUCCGGAUUUAUUGGGCGUAAAGCGAGCGCAGGCGGUUAGAUAAGUCUGAAGUUAAAGGCAGUGGCUCAACCAUUGUACGCUUUGGAAACUGUUUAACUUGACUGCAGAAGGGGAGAGUGGAAUUCCAUGUGUAGCGGUGAAAUGCGUAGAUAUAUGGAGGAACACCGGUGGCGAAAGCGGCUCUCUUGUCUGUAACUGACGCUGUGGCUCGAAAGCGUGGCGAGCGAACAGC